GAGGGGGUGCCGGAGCCUGGUCAAACGGGUAGGACUUAAGAUCCUAUGGCUUAGUGUCUACGCGGGUUCAAAUCCCGUCUCCCUCA
rnacentral:tRNA from 1 species